ACGCGUCCGCUGCCGCUGCCGCUGCCGGGCCGACGCCUCCGACCGCUCUCUCGUCCUCCACCCCCGCCCCGCCGCGCUCCGGGCAGCGUCCCGCGCGGAGAAGGGGGCGGGCGGCGGAGAGGUGAGGAGCGAGCCUGCAGCGAGCGAGGCCUUCGAAGUUGAGCAGCGGAGUGCGGGGAGACCCUCCGCUGCCCCCUCUUUAAAGCCGCGCGCGCACACACCGAUCCUCCACACAGAUAUCCUUCCUCCGCGCGCCGAGGAGUCCCGACGCCGCCGCCGGCUUCGCAGGCGCUGAGGGUGAGAGGCACGCUAAACUGCUCGGCUCCGCCACAUAACGAAGCGACAAUAAAGCCGGCGGAGCGUUUCCGUCCGACCAGGCCCUGGCGGAGGUCGAAUGGCAAAUGAACAACGGACCGUGCGCCCACAAUGCACCGGGGUAGCAGUAACCGCUGGAGGGGGAAAGGGUGGGGGCCGGGCUGGGGGAGGGGGGCUGGGCUUGGGGCUGGGCUGGGGUGGGGUGGGGGCGCCAGGGGACCGGGAAAGGGGCUGGGCUGCGCCUCCGGCCUGGGGGCGGGGGUGCGGCCGCGGGGAAGGAAGUCGGCCGAGGGGUUGGGGACAAAAGGCCGGGCGGCGGGCUGGGGGUCUCAGGGAGGGGGCGGGCGUGUGCGGCCGGGGCCGGGCUACGCGGAGGACAAACAGCUGGCGAGUGUCAGGGUCUGGCCGCCUCCCCGCUGCCCACACGCACCUACCCGCGCCCGGGACGCGCAUUUUCCUUCUCUCGCCACGAGUUCACCUGGGACUUUGCAAAUAACUGUGCGGUGGGAGCUGCGCUCCAGCCUUGUCAUUUGCUGAGGGUGGGUGGCGGUGCCCAAGGAAGUGAACUUAUUUUGUUCCUUCACAAAGACUGGACCAGGCGGUGCCUUUCACGCGAAGAGGUUACGACCACGGACACAACCUCCUUUGAUGCAUUGUGCGAGGCAGCACCUCGGGCCCCGGACAGUAGUCAUUUCACAGAAAAUGCACCGCCCCGAGUGUCUUAUUGCUGUGAUGAAAUGGAAAUUUAAAUAAAAGGUCGAACACGUGCGUUCACUGGGAAGUAUUGACAUGGGUGUUACAUCACCAGCAGCCAAUCAGAUAACUCCAGUCGUGUUUAUACUUCUACAACCACCUUGUGAGUAUUACAGUAUGUCAUAACGUUAUAAAUAUUAGGCAGGGUUUUCCCCAGGAGCGGGGAGGAGUCUGCUUCUACGGACGUUGUGAGCGGCUCCGAAGAUUGUGUGUUUAAAGUCAACAAUUCAUUUUUAAGACUUUUUUCGAACUGUUUACAUUACAUGGACUUUAGAUUGAUUCUGACAGAAUGAACUGGAAAUGAAAUCCCACAGUUAUGAUCGUAGUAGAGUUUUUUUUUCCAAUUUAGGGCCCUUAUACUCCUUUUAAAAAUUUUUAAUAUGCUAAAUUUAGCAAAUACUAAAGUGUUAAGACUCAUCUGACAAUGUGAGAAUUUAAGCCUAUUUCAGGUUAAGAAAAAAAAGAUGUUUUCAAGUUAUGGAGGGGCUUUUUACUCUUAAGCGACAUAUGUAUUAGAAGUUGAAUCACGAACUGAUAAAAUGCUCCAGAUAAUUGUUGACUAAAAAAAAUACGGCAGGACAAAUUUUUUACAUUAAUACAUAUGUGCAGAAAAUGAGAAAUAUACAUGAACUCUUUACAGUUAUAGAUUAAUGGGAAGGGUUAUGUUAAAGGCUUGAACCUCCUAAAUAAUGUAUUAAUGUAAAUAAAGUUAUAUAUGUUUUAUGAAGAACAGGUGUUACAAUUUUUAGACCUAGUUUUAUGAUUCUUAUUCUCUUCAAAAGUUCUUUUUCUAUUUCAAAACUAAGAGCAAUAUGUAAAGCUUUGUAUAAUAUGGAAUAUGGUAUGUAUUUCAAGGUUACUUUAAAAAGCAAGCUUUGGCUGGUCCCAAGGUAGUGAAUUGUCUCAAUUGGUUAUUCACAGUUGGUUGCCCGUUGUACCACUCUUUCCCCACUUCCACUUGACUAGUCUUUUAAAAAUAAAUAAAUAUUUAAAUAAACAA
rnacentral:lncRNA from 1 species